GCCCGGGUGGUGGAAUUGGUAGACGCGUCGGACUCAAAAUCCGAUCCCGAGAGGGGUGCCGGUUCGAUUCCGGCCCCGGGCACCA
rnacentral:tRNA from 1 species